GCUCCGGUGGCCUAAAUGGUUAGGGCGGCCACUUUGGAUGCGAGAGGUCGCGGGUUCAAUCCCCGACCGAGUCA